GCAGAAAGUGCCUCUCCCUCUUAACGAAUUUACAUCCUUCCUGUCAAAAUAAACGGUCAAAUUAUCAUAGCAAAGCCCAUUGCGUUGAAAAGCUUCGUAAUUGCAACCAUUUCAUUUCUGCAACCUCAACGCACUGCUAUAUAUUGAAAUCGGGGCUUUUGCAUGACACUUUCACCACCAAUCAUCUCAUAAAUUGCUACGUAAGACUCCGAAGAACCAGCUAUGCGCAGCAACUAUUCGAUGAAAUGCCUGAAUCCAAUGUGGUCUCAUGGACUUCGCUCAUGGCUGGCUACGUUGAUACGGGUCAACCCAAAUUUGCUAUUUGGUUAUUUAGAAAAAUGCCUGAGAGUUCAGUCUCUCCAAAUGAUUUCACUUUUGCAACAGUGAUUAAUGCGUCUUCAAUGCUUGCAGACCUUGAAACUGGAAAGAAAAUCCAUACCCAUAUUGAGAUUUUGGGGUUUCAAGGCAAUCUUGUGGUAUGCUCUUCAUUGGUUGAUAUGUAUGGGAAAUGCAAUGAUGUUGAUGGAGCCAGGCGGGUCUUUGAUUUGAUGGAUUAUAGGAAUGUUGUUUCUUGGACUUCAAUGA
rnacentral:misc_RNA from 1 species